AUUUGAGUGAGUGGCGGACGGGUGAGUAACACGUGGGUAACCUGCCCUAAAGUGGGGAUAACAUUUGGAAACAGAUGCUAAUACCGCAUAAAACCUAACACCGCAUGGUGUAGGGUUGAAAGAUGGUUUCGGCUAUCACUUUAGGAUGGACCCGCGGUGCAUUAGUUAGUUGGUGAGGUAAAGGCUCACCAAGACCGUGAUGCAUAGCCGACCUGAGAGGGUAAUCGGCCACACUGGGACUGAGACACGGCCCCAGACUCCUACGGGAGGCAGCAGUAGGGAAUCUUCCACAAUGGACGAAAGUCUGAUGGAGCAACGCCGCGUGAGUGAAGAAGGUUUUCGGAUCGUAAAACUCUGUUGUUGGAGAAGAAUGUAUCUGAUAGUAACUGAUCAGGUAGUGACGGUAUCCAACCAGAAAGCCACGGCUAACUACGUG
rnacentral:rRNA from 1 species